rnacentral:rRNA from 1 species
CAGCAGUGGGGAAUAUCGCACAAUGGCGGAAACCCUGAUGCAGAGACGCUGUGUGAGUGAAGAAGUAUUUGUGGUAUGUAAAGCUUUAUCAGCAGGGAAGAAAUAGGCGGUUCCUGACUAAGAAGCCCCGGAUAACUACGUGCCAGCAGCCGCGGUAAUACGUAGGGGGCAAGCGUUAUCCGGAUUUCCUGGGUGUAAAGGGAGAGUAGGUGGCAUAUCAAGUCAGAUGUGUAAAGACUCCGGGGCUCCACCCCGGGAUUGCAUUUGAAAAUGGUAUGCUAGAGUUCAGGAGAGGUAAGUGGAAUUCCUAGUGUAGCGGUGAAAUGCGUAGAUAUUAGGAGGAACACCAGUGCCGCAGGCGGCUUACUGGACUGUAACUCACCAUGAGGCUCGAAAGCGUGGGGAGCAAACAAGAUAACAUACCCUGGUAGUGUCACGCCGUAAAACGAGGAGUACUAGGUGUCGGGGGUCAAUAGACCUUCGGUGCCGUCGCAAACGCAUUAAGUAUUCCGCAUGGGGAGUACGUUCGCAAGAAUGAAACUCAAAGGAAUUGACGGGGACCCGCGCAAGCGCUGGAGCAUGUGGUUUAAUUCGAAGCAACGCCAAGAACCUUUCCAAACCUUGACAUCCCGGUGACUGGUCUUUAAUCAGACCUUCCUAAGUUUACUUAGGCGCCGGUGACACGUGGUGCACGGUGGUCGUCAGCUCGUGUCUUGAGAUGUUGGGUUAAGUCCCGUACCGAGCGCACCCCCUAUCUCUAGUAGCCACCACGUAAUGUUGGGCACUCUAGAGAGACUGCCAGGGAUAACUUGGAGGAAGGUGGGGAUGACGUCAAAUCAUCAUGCCCCUUAUGUUUUGGGCUACACACGUGCUACAAUGGCUGCUACAAAGGGAAGCAAAUGGGUGACCAUGCGCAAACCUCAAGAAGGCAGUCCCAGUUCGGAUUGUAGUCUGCAACUCGGCUACAUGAAGUUGGAAUCGCUAGUAAUCGCGAGUCAGAAUAUCGCGGUGAAUACGUUCCCGGGUCUUGCACUCACCGCCCGUCA